rnacentral:rRNA from 1 species
GACGAACGCUGGCGGCGUGCCUAAUACAUGCCAGUCGAACGAACCGCGACUAAGUGCUUGCACUAAGUCAAGGUGAGUGGCGAACGGGUGAGUAACACGUGGGUAACCUACCUCAUAGUGGGGGAUAACAGUCGGAAACGACUGCUAAUACCGCAUAGGACAUAGGAUCACAUGAUCCAGUGAGGAAAGGUGGCGCAAGCUAUCGCUAAGAGAUGGACCCGCGGUGCAUUAGCUAGUUGGUAGGGUAAAGGCCUACCAAGGCGAUGAUGCAUAGCCGACCUGAGAGGGUGAUCGGCCACAUUGGGACUGAGACACGGCCCAAACUCCUACGGGAGGCAGCAGUAGGGAAUCUUCCGCAAUGGACGCAAGUCUGACGGAGCAACGCCGCGUGAGCGAAGAAGGUCUUCGGAUCGUAAAGCUCUGUUGUUAGAGAAGAACAGCGCAUAGAGUAACUGCUAUGCGUGUGACGGUAUCUAACCAGAAAGCCACGGCUAACUACGUG